ACUUGAAAAUAUUCAUAAUGUGUUUCAUGUGUCUAUGUUGAGACGGUAUAGAUCAGAUCCAUCACAUGUAAUUCCUCAUACGGAAAUAGAGCUCCAACCUGACAUGACUUAUUCAGAGGAACCGGUGAAAAUUUUAGCUCGGGAGGUUAAAGAGUUGAGGAAUAAACGUGUACCACUAGUUAAGGUGUUAUGGAAUCGACAUGGAUCUGAGGAGGCAACCUGGGAAACGGAGGAAUUGAUGAGAUUUCAGUAUCCGAAUUUAUUUCCAGAUCGAGAACCUGAAACAAGUCGAGGAAAAGAAAAAGUAGCCGAUUAGUCCCUGAACUUUUACAAAUUCUGCAAAUCGAUCCAGAUUAACGUAUUUAUACAUUCGGAGGAUCGGAUCUACAUCAAGAAUCACACUACCCGGAUAUAC